AUAGCUACAAAAUGAGAUCGACAUGGGAUUCCUUUUGACUCACCCCAGUUGUGACUGCAACAUGGCUAAAGCUGGUGGUUUUCUUGCCUGAUGGAUGAUGACAACACUCCUGUGAUACAUCAGAACUUUUUGUUGACUGAACGAGUAGCCUUCGCUUCAUUCCACCUGCUGUCCCACUGUGUGAGACUACACCUACUCAUCACUGCGCUGAGAAACUGGUACUUAAAAUGAUCCGAAGCAUCAGAUCAGCCUUGGCCUGAGAGUUCGAACUGGUACACUGAUGGCAGUAGCCUCGCGGUUAAAGGCUCAAGGUGCUCCAGUGAGUGAGACAGCGAGCAAAGAAGCAGCUCCAGAAGGCCUACUCAAGAGAAGACCUGCUAGACGUCUCCACGCAGAAAACCUUGAGACUCCGGUGGAAAGGCCCUUAUCUUGUACUCUUAACCACCCUACUUUCUACCUUUAUGAGACCCCUUUUGAUUUUGCUUCUGCUUUUAAUUAUAGGUCCAUGUGUGUUAAAUAGACAAGUCACCUUUAUUAAGACAAGAAUUAGUGCAGUGCGGCUUUUAGCUUUGAGACAACAGUACCAUGCCCUAAAGAAUCAAAUAUGUCAGGGAAAAGAUAGUGUCUAGUUCUAAGAUUAGAACUACUAACAAGUAGAAGUGGGGAAUGAAAGUAUAACAAAGUAAAAAGAGAAUUCUAGGCCUUUAGGCCCAGUCUUGGGAAUGUGGCCUUUGUAAAGGUAUGCUAAUCAUAAAACAGAUAGCGACAUUCCUCUACCCACCCGCUUCCUGGGUUCAAAGAGUGCUCAUUCAAAAAAAGUCAUCCUGACCAUUGCUGGAACCCGCUAUGCAAAUGUGCUUUUGUUAGGGGCUCUUAGAAACUGUUUUGAGAAAUAACCCUCACAAUUACCAGGUAUUCCUCAUGACUCUUGUAACUUUGCACUUCCUUGUGACUCUUAACUAGUAUUUUUGGUAUUUUCCAACAACGCCCUUCCCACCUCCUUGAGUUGUGGUUUCUUCCUUUAAAUACCCCCUUACUCAGCUACUCGGGGCGCCAUGGUCCUCUACCCCUGUGUGGUGUAUGACCUGGGGCCUGAGAGUGCUCCUGAAUAAAAAUCCUCUUGCAGUUUGCAACAAGACCGUUUCUUGUAGGUGAUUUUGGGGUGUUGCCUCUCCUGAGUCAGAACGUGGGGGAGUCCUCACGUUGUGGGUCUUUCAUAAGCAUUACUCAGAGAAACAGAUGGGAAUUCAUACCAGACAUGGUUUAAAUAUAAAAGGCCAAUCAAAGAUUGAGUCAACUCCCUAUGACCACUAUAUCCAUCCAAAGAACUGAUAAUUAUGAGAAGAAAUACACAAAGCAACAUCGAAUGCAAAGUAUUAGCAGAGGAAGCUUCUUCAGCCAUAGUCUCUUCCCUCUCAUUCUAAUUGGAAACCAAUCACUUUAGAGCCAUGGUGAAUACCAACACUGCAUAUCAGUGAGAUCACUAUGUGAUGCAUUCUGAAUGUGCACACUAGAUCCACUCAUAGCAUUUUAUCACAAAUUCUAAACCUCUUGAGCAAGUGUUUUAUGCCUAAUGUGGAAUUUCAAGAAAAGCAUCUUAAAUAUAGAAUAGAUAUUUUCAAAGGUUUGAGGGUUUUUGUGUUUUGUUUUUGUUUUCCAUUUUUUAUUAGAUAUUUUCUUCAUUUACAUUAAAGUGCUAUCCUGAAAGGUAUUGUUUACAGGAGAAUCUCUGUUUACAGCCUUUCUUUCUUUUGCAUGGAACCAUACAGAAACACAGUUUAGUCAAAAAUGGGUAGAAUAAAUCACAUUUACACCUGUGUCUUUACCCUAAGGCUAACAUAGGGAAUAGAGGGAAUCAUUCUAUGAUCAACAAAUCAUACUGGGUGUUAAUUUUUUAUAAUUCUUUUGUGAAAUGAUAAACUGUAUUAUUUCUUAAUGAGUUAAUUUAUCAAAUCUUCAGACAGAUGGUUGUGUAAUUCAUUGUUAAUAGCUGUCAACAGUGAAACUAUUGUAAGGUCUAACAUGAAAAGCAAAUAAUUUGAUCUCCAGAAUAAACAAUUAAGGAAUGUAAU
rnacentral:lncRNA from 1 species